GAAGCAGAAUCUAGGGACAUCUCCACCAUGGCCUGGGCUCCGCUCCUCCUCACCAUCCUAGCUCACUGCACAGAGUCUUGGUCUGAGGUUGUGCUGACUCAGCCUGGCUCUGUAUCAGAGUCACUGGGACAGAAGGCCACCAUCUCCUGUACCCGCAGCAGCGACAACAUUGGAAGCAGCUAUGUGUACUGGUACCAACAGCACCCGGGCAGUGCCCCCACCACCGUGAUCUAUGAUGAUGACGAAAGACCCUCUGGGGUACCCGAUCGGUUCUCAGGGUCCAUAGACAGCUCAUCCAAUGCUGCCUACCUGACCAUCUCUGGGCUGCAGCCUGAGGACGAGGCCGACUACUACCGUCAGUCUUAUGACAGCAGCUAUAAGCACACAGUGCUCCAGACCUGUUCCCUCUCCCAGCCUGUGCUGACUCAGCUGCUCUCCCUCUCUGCAUCUCCUGGAGCAUCAGCCAGACUCACCUGCACCCUGAGCAGUGGCAUCAAUAUUGGCAGCAAAGAUACAAUGUGGCACCAGCAGAAGCCAGGGAGCCCUCCCCAGUGUCUCCUCUACUACCACACAGACUCAGAUAAGCACCAAGGCUCCAGGUCCCCAGCUGCUUUUCUGGAUCCAAAGAUCUUCAGCCAGUGCAGGGCUUCUGCUCAUCUCUGGGCAGCAGCCCGAGGAUGA